rnacentral:rRNA from 1 species
GAUCAUGGCUCAGGAUGAACGCUAGCGGCAGGCCUAAUACAUGCAAGUCAAGGGGCCCAGCAAUGGGCACCGGCGGACGGGUGCGUAACGCGUACACAACAUACCUUAAGUGGGGGAUAGCAUUGGGAAACUGAUGGUAAUACCCCAUAAUAAUUCAGGGAGGCAUUUCCUUGGAUUUAAAGCUCCGGCGCUUAGAGAUUGGUGUGCGUCCGAUUAGCUAGAUGGUAAGGUAACGGCUUACCAUGGCGACGAUGGGUAGGGGUCCUGAGAGGGAGAUCCCCCACACUGGUACUGAGACACGGACCAGACUCCUACGGGAGGCAGCAGUGAGGAAUAUUGGACAAUGGGCGCAAGCCUGAUCCAGCCAUGCCGCGUGCAGGAUGACGGUCCUAUGGAUUGUAAACUGCUUUUGUACAGGAAGAAACACUCCCUCGUGAGGGAGCUUGACGGUACUGUAAGAAUAAGGAUCGGCUAACUCCGUG